UACAGAGGUGGCAAGCGUUGUUCGGAAUUACUGGGCGUAAAGGGCGCGUAGGCGGCCUUCUAAGUCAGACGUGAAAUCCCCAGGCUUAACUUGGGAACUGCGUCUGAUACUGGGAGGCUUGAGUGCGGGAGAGGGAAGUGGAAUUCCCGGUGUAGUGGUGAAAUGCGCAGAUAUCGGGAGGAACACCGGUGGCGAAGGCGGUUCUCUGGGCCUUACCUGACGCUGAGGAGCGAAAGCGUGGGGAGCGAACAGG
rnacentral:rRNA from 1 species